GCAUCCGUAGCUCAACUGGAUAGAGCGUUGGCCUCCGGAGCCAAAGGUUAUGGGUUCGAGCCCCGUCGGAUGCA
rnacentral:tRNA from 1 species